GCGGCCGCCGGGCCCCGGGGUUGAGGCGAGGAGCCCGCGGGCGGCCGGUCGGGCGGGGCGGCGGCGCUGACAGCAUCCUGAGGUUAGCAUUACACUUCUCCCAGUGGAGCCCAUGACUUCUGAUCAGGACGCUAAGGUUGUGGCUGAACCGCAGACGCAGAGAGUCCAGGAGGGCAAGGACAGCGCUCAUCUGAUGAAUGGUCCUAUAUCUCAAACCACUUCUCAGACAAGUUCCAUCCCACCUUUGAGUCAGAAAACACUCCUCAGCUACCGGUGUCAGAGGACGGUGUUGUUUGGGGAUGGCAUGAUAGAGACGGACAGUUCGUACCAGCAACUAAGGUUUCAGAGCUGAACCCUAAUGCAGAAGUGUGGGGGGCUCCUGUGUUACAUCUGGAAGCAAGCAGUGCUGCUGACGGUGUGAGUGCUGCAUGGGAGGAGGUGGCUGGCCACCACGCAGACCGUGGCCCGCAGGGAUCGGAUGCCAAUGGUGAUGGUGACCAGGGCCAUGAGAAUGCCGCAUUGCCAGACCCGCAGGAGUCGGACCCAGCAGACAUGAACGCUCUCGCUCUGGGUCCCUCAGAAUAUGACUCUCUGCCUGAAAAUAGCGAGACAG
rnacentral:lncRNA from 1 species